GAUGAACGCUGGCGGCGUGCCUAAUACAUGCAAGUCGAGCGAACGGACGAGAAGCUUGCUUCUCUGAUGUUAGCGGCGGACGGGUGAGUAACACGUGGAUAACCUACCUAUAAGACUGGGAUAACUUCGGGAAACCGGAGCUAAUACCGGAUAAUAUUUUGAACCGCAUGGUUCAAAAGUGAAAGACGGUCUUGCUGUCACUUAUAGAUGGAUCCGCGCUGCAUUAGCUAGUUGGUAAGGUAACGGCUUACCAAGGCAACGAUGCAUAGCCGACCUGAGAGGGUGAUCGGCCACACUGGAACUGAGGCACGGUCCAGACUCCUACGGGAGGCAGCAGUAGGGAAUCUUCCGCAAUGGGCGAAAGCCUGACGGAGCAACGCCGCGUGAGUGAUGAAGGUCUUCGGAUCGUAAAACUCUGUUAUUAGGGAAGAACAUAUGUGUAAGUGACUGUGCACAUCUUGACGGUACCUAAUCAGAAAGCCACGGCUAACUACGUG
rnacentral:rRNA from 1 species